rfam:Gossypium arboreum cultivar AKA8401 contig_296_1, whole genome shotgun sequence.
UAUUAAAAAAUUAUCCAUUUCUAUUAUUAAAAACUAGCAUAACUGACAAAACAAGUGGCGUGCUAGGUGUACCUCAUGUUAACGUACACGGAUAAAAUUUUAACACUAGAAAUGGAUGGGACUUUUAUCA